rnacentral:rRNA from 1 species
UACGGAGGGUGCGAGCGUUGUCCGGAAUCAUUGGGCGUAAAGGGCGCGUAGGUGGCGCGGUAAGCGUGCGGUGAAAGCCUGGGGCUCAACCCCGGGUCGGCCGUGCGAACUGCUGGGCUUGAGCACUGUAGAGGCAGGCGGAAUUCCGGGUGUAGCGGUGGAAUGCGUAGAGAUCCGGAAGAACACCGGUGGCGAAGGCGGCCUGCUGGGCAGUUGCUGACACUGAGGCGCGACAGCGUGGGGAGCAAACAGG